AACGAACGCUGGCGGCGCGCCUAACACAUGCAAGUCGAACGAGAAUCCGGGGCAACCCGGUAGUAAAGUGGCAAACGGGUGAGGAAUACAUGGGUAACCUACCCUUGAGAAGGGAAUAACCCGCCGAAAGGUGAGCUAAUACCCUAUACGCUAUCUUUUUUUCGAAAAGGAUAGGAAAGCCGGGUCGAGGACCUGGUACUCAAGGAGGGGCUCAUGUCCUAUCAGCUUGUUGGUGGGGUAACGGCCUACCAAGGCUACGACGGGUAGCUGGUCUGAGAGGAUGAUCAGCCACACUGGCACUGAGAUACGGGCCAGACUCCUACGGGAGGCAGCAGUGGGGAAUAUUGCGCAAUGGGCGAAAGCCUGACGCAGCCACGCCGCGUGAGCGAUGAAGGCCUCGGUCGUAAGACUCUGUGGGAGAGAAGAUAAAGACUGUGAGAGACAGGCCUUGACGGUAGUCUCCUUAGCAAGCACCGGCUAACUCGUCGCCAGCAGCCGC
rnacentral:rRNA from 1 species